rnacentral:rRNA from 1 species
GAUGAACGCUGGCGGCAUGCCUAAUACAUGCAAGUCGAACGAGAACCUUCGGGUUCUAGUGGCGAACGGGUGAGUAACACGUAGAUAACCUGCCCAUGAGACCGGGAUAACUGAUGGAAACGUCUGCUAAUACCGGAUAGGUAAGAAGAAGGCAUCUUCUUCAUAUUAAAGUCGGGGCACGACACUGAUGGAUGGAUCUGCGGUGCAUUAGCUAGUUGGUGAGGUAACGGCCCACCAAGGCGAUGAUGCAUAGCCGGCCUGAGAGGGUGAACGGCCACAUUGGGACUGAGACACGGCCCAA